AGAGUUUGAUCAUGGCUCAGGAUGAACGCUGGCGGCGUGCCUAAUACAUGCAAGUCGAACGGAAGCGAUAAGCUUGCUUAUCAAAUCAGUGGCGAACGGGUGAGUAAGACAUAAAUAAUCUACCCCUAAGCCUGGGAUAACUAGAGGAAACUUUAGCUAAUACCGGAUAGUUGAGAAUAAGGCAUCUUAAUCUUAUUAAAGAUGGGAAACAUCACUAAGGGAUGAGUUUAUGGCGCAUUAGCUAGUUGGUGAGAUAAGAGCCCACCAAGGCGAUGAUGCGUAGCCGAUCUGAGAGGAUGACCGGCCACAUUGGGACUGAGACACGGCCCAGACUCCUACGGGAGGCAGCAGUAGGGAAUUUUCGGCAAUGGGGGGAACCCUGACCGAGCAACGCCGCGUGAACGAGGAAGGUCUUUGGAUCGCAGAGUUCUGUUGUAAGGGAAUAAACGAUUAUAGAGGGAAUGCUAUAAUUUUGACGGUACCUUACCAGAAAGCCACGGCUAACUACGUGCCAGCAGCCGCGGUAAUACGUAGGUGGCGAGCGUUAUCCGGAAUUAUUGGGCGUAAAGGGUGCGUAGGCGGCUUAAUAAGUUUGUGGUGAAAUCGUGGGGCUCAACUCCAUCAAGCCACAAAAACUGUAAAGCUAGAGGACAGUAGAGGCAAGUGGAAUUCCAUGUGUAGCGGUAAAACGCGUAGAUAUAUGGAGGAACACCAGUGGCGAAGGCGGCUUGCUGGACUGUAACUGACGCUGAGGCACGAAAGCGUGGGGAGCAAAUAGGAUUAGAUACCCUAGUAGUCCACGCCGUAAACGAUGAAUACUAAG
rnacentral:rRNA from 1 species